CUGAGGCAAUGGCAGAGACCCAGAGCCCAGGCGGGGAGACUGCGGGGAUUUAAGAACUCGUUUACUUAGAACAGUGAAAAGGAAGUCAAGCGUGAACUUUCUGAGCUCCAAAGAUAUUCUCAGGGCCCAUUUGCGAAUAAGCAUAAAUCUUCAAAUUUAUCCAAAGUUUAGCAAAUUCACAAUGACAAAUGUAACAGUUCCUCUAAAUUGAAGUUCAUCUCCUGGCAGUUUUGGAGGCUUGGAGAAAAUGCCAGCAACAAGGACUUGGAAGGAAAUAAAUCUUUAGAUUCCCUGAAAACACAGAGAGUUAUUGUGGAAGACAUAUGGAGGACCCCAUACUGCGUUAAGAAAGAAAAUUUAUAAAUGUCAGCUUCAUAGCAGCAAUGUCGAAGGGAUUUCAGCAAUCCACACUUAACUACAAUAAGAAAAACAGGCUGCAGGUACACAUUUGCCACGAAGAACUAAUUAUGCUUAACCUGUGCUCUUUCUGGGAGGAGCAAAUGAGGAGAGAAGGAGCUGGGCCUGCUUACUCGGGGCUGGUGGACCAUUUUCUUAAAUAAGGCAUGGCGCUGGUCUGACAUUAGUUUAACAAGAUCUUCAGAAUGAUAAUUAGUGUCAUCAUUGUCAAGUUCAAGUUCUCCUGACUUGUUGAAAAGCCAAAAAUACAUAUUGUGACAGGGAAGUUCCCAUCAAAGAGUAGUAAGGAGAAUACCAAUUGGGAAAGGACAACUUCAUAAAAAUAAACAAGUAUGGCAUAAUGGUUUGUGAAGCUGAUUCUUCUGGAAUGAAUAAUAAAAGCAAAAUACAUGAAGGCACCCAGUUCUGUAAGCUCCUAAAUUCAAAUACUCCAAUAUGAUUACCUUGAUUAAACAAUAAAUAAAACAUACCCUGAUGGGUAAUUUUGUCAUGGAGCCUCUACAUUCUUAAUGAAAUCCAUCUGAACAUUGCUUAAUACAGUCGUAGAAGAGUGCUAAUUUAACCUGACUUCAACAAAUGCUUUAUUUUACCUCAUCUACAUAAAUAAGGUGUGUUCACAGUUCUAAAACAUGACAUGAAUAUGAAGAUUAAGCUACACAUUGGAUUGUAGGGGAGGAUACCUGGAUUUGGCUCACUCCACUAAACCAAAAUAUCACCAGCCAUUAUUAUCUAAAAGAAAUACUGCACACAUCUCAGCUGAACACUGAUUUUUCCAAAUGCUUUACGUUUAAAAAAUAGUAAUAAUGUAGUGUUUGGAAAUAAUGUGUAAAAAUAGAGUGUGAAGCAUUAUUAGGAACAGAUUUAUAAACAGAGGCAGAGGGUAUCUACAUGAAAAAACAUGGCUAAGCUCUGCUAAUAAUCAAGUCUUUGAAACAAAAGCUCGCUGGAUCUUUAGCUCCUCCAAAGCAAGAGAUUUUGUUCAUUCAUCUUCUUAUCCCCA
rnacentral:lncRNA from 1 species